UUCAUGUCCCAUUAAUGCAUGUUACUAACUUCACUUCUUCCCCGGAGUUCUUGUGCUUUCUCGUCUCGCAGGCUCUCAUGGAUCCUGGUGGAGCCUCCUGCCAUGGUCCUGAUUGACUGCCAUUGCCAAUACUCUGUCUGUCUGUCUGCUCUCUCUCUCUCUCUCUCUCUCUCUCUCUCUCUCAGACGACCACCCACCUAGAGCCGAAGGAUCUGUCCUAGGUUUCUGCCUUUUAACAGGCAGUUUUUCCUUGCCCUUGUCGCCAAGUGCUUGCUCAUGGUGGUACUGUUGGGUCUCUGUAAAUAAUGUUAUAAAGAGUUCGGUCUAGACCUGCUCUAUUUGAAAAGUGUCCUGAGAUAACUUCUGUUAUGAAUUGGCGCUAUACAAAUAAAAUUGAAUUGAAUU